AUUGAACGCUGGCGGCAGGCCUAACCCAUGCAAGUCGAACGCGAGUCGGAAGGGUGAGUAAUGUCUGGGAAACUGCCCGUUGGAGGGGGAGAACUACUGGAAACGGUAGCUAAUACCGCAUACAACCGGAGGUGCCCCGAUGGGAUUAGCUCGUGGGGGGGGUAACGGCUCACCGAGGCGAAGAUCCCUAGCUGGUCUGUGAGGGAGACCAGCCACACUGGAACUGAGACACGGUCCAGACUCCUACGGGAGGCAGCAGUGGGGAAUAUUGCACAAUGGGCGCAAGCCUGAUGCAGCCAUGCCGCGUGUAUGAAGAAGGCCUUCGGGUUGUAAAGUACUUUCAGCGAGGAGGCGUUACUCGCAGAAGAAGCACCGGCUAACUCCGUGCCAGCAGCCGCGGUAAUAC
rnacentral:rRNA from 1 species